CGUGGAACUACCACUCCCAGAAUGCAAUUGCUUGGCUUUGUUGCCGGAAAACAUCCGUUCACGAUGAACAGACAUGAACUCCAAAGAGAUGGAAAGGGAGUUGUGGAGAAGGACGAACCGAAGGAGAACAACAUUUGUUCACUCACACUGGGUCAGGUGGUCAAUGUUGUACGGUUCCAUGGUAGCCUCCCGUUUUCUGCACGUGGAGUUGGAGCUGAAAGUUCACCUUCGCCACCUGUAGUUUAGUGAGCCCGUGCGCUACAAUCCACUGGAGUAUGCCUGUGAACUGCACUGCUGCUUCGAUUAGACAUACUGUUGCUGCGGACAGACGAUUCCUUUCGGCUGUCAGCCGCAUCUGUCCGAUGAACCCGGGACGCUUCGGCAUGGCUCAGGCCCGGGUAAGGAUGUGCAAGCAGGUCAACGAAUGCUGGUGAUUUGUUAGCCUAGUUCAUCCAUUCAAGGGCCCUCUACCCUGCUCUCUUUCCAAGGUCGUGGAUUGCCACUGGAAUGCUCGUGAUUUGUUAGCCUAGUUCUUCCAUUCAAGGCCCCUCUACUCUGCAUUCUUUCCAAGGUCGUUGUAAGUGGCAAAAGGUCCCCGUUGGUAAGGUCAACCAUGUCCAUGAUUGGCUGAAGAUCACUGGUGAGGUGGGACAUCCCCCUUCGGAGCACCCAAAGCGACGAAUUAAAGGCAUGGCCUGCAUUCAGAGGGAAGUGAGAGUCACCCAUUUCUGGAACUUCUUCCGCAAGCUGUGUGCUGAGCCAGCUGUAUUAUUCUGCCAUUUCUUCGUACACAACCCGUGCCCACGUGUUCAUGGGUACCACCGGCAAGAACCUGAUGCCCCCCCGAGCUAGUCAUUGGGAAAUGUGAGGCCCUCCUGUGCCCCCUGUGACAUAGCACUGUGCCAGGCCGUGGCUGCCCUGGGCGUGACCAUGGGGAUUGGGGGUUGCAGAGAAGCAAGCACAACAAGCCCUCUCGGCUGCGGGCAUGGAGGUACAAGUGGAGGGCAUCAUGCACUCCUCUGCUGGGAGGCGGUGUCCAAGGCCAAGCUGGAGGAACAAGGCGUCCUAUCCCUCCUGAGCACAUAACCUCUAGCCAAGCAGCCUCCAUGAACAAUGCAGUUCGCUAGCCUGGGGGUAGGAGUUGCUUUAGAUCAGCAUCUAGGGGCAAUGUUUGAUGGGAUCACUAUCCUCCACUGUACCUUAACUUGAACACACUCACAUUGUGUUUACAAAUUGUUUUAUGACUCAUCACUCUGCUGUAACAUUGCUGUCAGAUGGUGUUGUCCUGCCUCUCUGCUCUCCCAGGCCCUCUCACACAGCAGUUCCCGGUUGAGCAGCAUUUCCCCCAGAGCUCUCAUGUUUAUAGGCCAUGUGUAAGCAUACUGCAUCACAAUGACUCUCCUCAGAUCCUGUUAUAUCCAUUACAGAGAAGAUAAAUGUCUGUAUUUACCUCACUGUGGUGUGUACUGCCUCACAGCAUGUAGACAGCUGCCCUGUCUCUGACCUCUGACCUUUGUGAGGACAUUCUGUAGCAUAUUACCUUGAAGCAAUUACACCCAGAUCUGGCUAAGAAAUACCUCACUACAUAUUCCAGGUAAACGUAGUUUGUCAAUCACACCUCCUAAUGAGUUUUCUAUUCUCUCACCCAGUCUCAAACAGCAGAGCUUGUUACCAAUAAUGACCCGCUAUUAUGAAGAGCCAUGACUUUAUGUUGCCAUCAUGAUGUAGCCCAGUGGGGCGUGAUCCUUGGGGGGGACGUGAGGGUUUGGGAGGAGGGGCAUGUCCCCCACCCCCAAAACAAUAUAUAUGCAGGCGUGUUCCCCAAUGAGGAACGGGGCCCGAGUGAAAACGUUUGGGGAACCACUGAUUUAGCCGGAGGCUAAUGACAUCUUACUCUCAAUUUAAACCAGGGUCCUUCUUGUGGUCAUUAUGGUAGUUGUUCUUGUUUCCCACUUGGUCUCAGCAGUGGUUUGCAAAUUGGGAGUGAAUGUAGACUAGUUUUUUUUUGGCCUUUGUAACAGCAUUGCAAUAGCAAUGUUUCUCCUUUGACCAAUUUAGUACAUGUUCAAGCCAACGAUUGACCUUUGCUGAUGCUGUAUGUAUGUGGAUGCCCUGUCCUUACCUUUGUUACAUCUUGGAAGGACUUCUGCAGUCUCUUCAUCUGUUGGAAUCCUACCAUUACUACUAAGAAAGUUCUGACUGUCAAUGUCCUACUGUUUACCCACACUAGUGCAUAGUACGUGUAAAGCCCUCUCUGUAAUGUACGCCCCAUUAGGUAAUGUAUGAAUAAGAAUAAGCCCUUGUUGAUGACAUAGAGGGCACUCAAAUGUUCUUGCACCAUGUUGUUAUACCACUCAGGUUAAGCUUGUAAUGGAGGUUAAGCUUGUAAUGGAAAAGGGGCUCAAGUGUACAGUCCUCCUUGCAGGCUCCUCUCCAAUGAUGCUUCCUCCCUUACACACCAUUCUGAACAACUCAGACAAAAUGCCACAUAGCGGGUGAUCAAGUGUGUGUGUGUGUGUGUGUGUGUGUGUGUGUGUGUGAACCUAAAUCAGGUGGUCCCUUAAUAAGAGUGAUGUUUUUCUAUAUGCAUGGGAUUCAUCUUAUACUAUGGGGUUGUGAUGUACUUUAGUUUGUACUUGAAGUUAGUGUUUUGUUUUAAAGAUUUUGUCUUGUCCAUGUUUUUUUUUAGAUGUACAUUUCUCAUUGCCUUGAGUUUUCUCUAGCAUUGUUAUAAUGAAUAUUUUUGCACAUUAACUAAUUUCCACUAUGUUGCAAUUAUUUUGUAAGGCAAUAAAUGGACUAUAUACUGCA